rnacentral:pre_miRNA from 1 species
GAGGUACUCCCUCCGUUCCAUAAUUCUUGUCUCAAAUUUGCCCAAAUAUGAAUGUAUCUAUUCCUAAAAAGCGUCUAAAUACAUGUAAUAUUUCGACAAGAAUUAUGGAACGGAGGGAGUAUAAC